GCAACACAGACCUCACAUCUCUUACCUCGCAAUGGGUCAGUUUAAAAGAAAGAGAAACUGAAAGCAAUCGCAGCAUCAUGUUGCAUCAUCGGCUGUCUGUUGCCAAACGUCGGUCGCUCAAAAGCCAUCAGACACACUGGCUGAGCGCUUCACUCCGGGUUGCACGUUUACAGAACCAACAAGUCAUCAAGCAUCAGACAUUAGUUUGCACGGAAAUAUAGCAUUGCCUGUGUCACAGCCCAUACUUUCAUUUUUCAUCGCGAGUCAUUCAAAGUGCACAUCGAGCUGCAGAGGCGCGCUGGUUGCGCGUCAACGUCAGACUUUAAAUGGCAGCGAAUUGACAUGCGGGCGCGCAGCACGGAUGAUCCGGGCUGCCGGCGGACACAGACAACCAAUCGGCCAGCCAGUGUGCUGCAGGCGGAAGAUAUGUCUCCGCUAUUCAUGGACACGGGGCAGGAGUCCAAUAGCCCUGACUCGGGCUCAGCUAACGGGAGCAACACCGCUGGAUCCGAGAGAGAAGGAGAGGGACAACAGACGGCAAACCGAGGAAGGAAAAGACAAGAGAAGAACAGAGACGCUGCGAGAAAGAGCCGGAGAAAACAAACCGAGAGAGCGGACGAACUUCAUGAGGAGCUACAGUGUCUGGAGCGUUCAAAUUCAGCCCUUAAAAAGGAGAUUGUCGCAUUGAAAAAAGACUUCCACCUUUAUACGACGACUUUGGAGCGCCACAAGCCUUUUUGCUGCCUCAAAGACUCCACUUCCAGCUCCAGCUCUACAACCUGCUUCUCGGUUUCCCCCAAGGCCAACUGUUGGGUUGGCCCCAGCCCUCCUGCUGUCCCUCCCCAGGCCUCAGGCUCCACUUUUGCUGCUGCCCCUCCACUCUCUACCACCUCAACCCAUAGCCUGGGUCUUCAAACCCGCGACUGUGUUGGAAGCGCACAUCUCUCAUCUUCAACUGCUACUCCUCCAACAACCACGACAUUAGCCUCACCCAGCAGCUCGUCUACUGAACUCUCCACUACGUCCAGCUCUGUAACGGACCCUUACUCUGCCUCUUUCUCUGCUGUCCCGGCUCCUCUCACGUCAAGGCAGACAAACGUUCCGCCUGUCUCCACCAGCCUUGUUUCAAACCCUGAGGCCUCCAUUUCUCUCACUGCAGCUGCUCAGCCUCAAUCUGGGCAAAGCAUCAUCAAUGAAAGCUCUGCAAUGUCAUCAAAUCCUGGUUUCUCUCCACUUCAUUCUGGUGCACUGGAUGCCUUUCUAAUGAAACAGGCCACUUUUUUAACUGAUUCAUCUAACGUAGUGCCCCCUUACUCCCAUUUAGGAGCAGAAAACACAGAUCUAGUAGCGCAAGGUUGUUCCAUGGAUGUGCCCCAGCUUCAUCCAUGUCAGUUCAGCAGAAAUCCAAUGGAUUCAAGUCCACCAACUUUUCAAGAUCCUCCUCUUCAGUCCCUCUCAGCGCCGCCUCCUGACUCUGCUUUUGCCUUAAAGCCGAGUUAUAGCCAACAGGUCUCACUCAAUCCUGUGUCUCUGCUUUCCCUGCUCACUGUCCCGAGUCCCCUUCAUGUGUCUCAGACUACCUCCAGCAUCUUUGAUGGACCUCUCUCUCAACCUCCGCCCUCGCUGCCACCACUGGGGGAUAUCUCAAGAGAUCUCUCCCUUUCUGAGCUCCUGGAGGUCAAUGAUUGGAUACUAAAUGGGACUAGUCACCAGUAGCACUACAUUGCAAACAAAGACCAGCUUGUAGUUUAAUCAAACUCUGCUGAGCAGCUACAGCAACAAGACGGACAGAUUUGUACAUCUGACAUCUGUAUGGAAAACCGGACAUCAGAAUAUGAAAGACGGCCAAAACGAAUGUCAAAAUGGUCAAAGCCAAUGCAGCAGAAGCAGAGAUAUCCCAGCUUUUAGUCCCUAGGUUGGGUCAAGCUCCAAAAACACUGGAUCCUACACUUCCCACAAUGCAACCAAUAGCAUAUUUCUGGUUGGAUGCUGGUAAAUGCCUGGUAGAUGUCACUCCAGAUCCUGUAAC